rnacentral:rRNA from 1 species
CUGCUGCCUCCCGUAGGAGUUUGGGCCGUGUCUCAGUCCCAAUGUGGCCGAUCACCCUCUCAGGUCGGCUACUGAUCGUCGCCUUGGUAGGCCUUUACCCCACCAACUAGCUAAUCAGACGCGGGUCCAUCUCAUACCACCGGAGUUUUUCACACCGAAUCAUGCGAUUCUGUGCGCUUAUGCGGUAUUAGCAGUCAUUUCUAACUGUUAUCCCCCUGUAUGAGGCAGGUUACCCACGCGUUACUCACCCGUCCG